rnacentral:rRNA from 1 species
UACGAAGGGGGCUAGCGUUGCUCGGAAUUACUGGGCGUAAAGGGCGCGUAGGCGGACAGUUUAGUCAGAGGUGAAAGCCCAGGGCUCAACCUUGGAACUGCCUUUGAUACUGGCUGUCUUGAGUUCGGGAGAGGUGAGUGGAAUGCCGAGUGUAGAGGUGAAAUUCGUAGAUAUCGAGAGGAACACCUGCGGCGAAGGCGGGUAGCUGGGCCGACACUGACGCUGAUGCGCGAAAGCCAGGGGAGCGAACGGG